rnacentral:tRNA from 1 species
GCCAUGGUAGCACAGUGGUAGUGCAGCUGCCUUGUAAGCAGCAGGUCGCCGGUCCAAAUCCGGCCCAUGGCU